CAUCUGGCCAUUGCCCCCUCCCCUUGUCACAUUGGAUUUGACUUUCUCAAUGCAGUGGAGUGACAGACUUGGUGGGGGUUGGGGUGGAAGGUGAUAAAACUAAUUAGAAACUUGGCAUUCUAUUCCAGGAUGAAACCUAAUCCGAAAACCCUCAUGGCAGGAAUGGAAAGAGGCACCCUGCAGGAACGUGGCAAGGAAUCCGAUGAGACGGUGAUCAGGACCUGGUGCUCCAAGUUGCUUGUAGCUGUGCUGUCAUUCAAAGUCAUUCUAACUUCAUCAUGAAUCUCCGUUCUUCAUCUAUCAGAAAGCCAUGCAAUUUGGUAAACUCCGCCUGGAUGUCUUCCUGCAGAUCGCUGAUUCGUUUCUGUUCAAAUACAUGGAAAUCUUAUUUAGGAAUUUAAAUACAAGUGUGGAAGAAUAGUGCUGUAAAAAUAGAGCUGUAAAAAUAAAGCUGUAAAAUAUAA